rnacentral:SRP_RNA from 13 species
GUUGGAAACGCAGCAGGCUGGAACGCCGGCAGCGGGUGCGGGAGAAUGACGGCCGAUCAUUGGACACC